AUGAAUAGAGAGAGUACCAAUCUCACUGGCCAUGAGUUCCGUGUGAGUGUCCAUUCAAUCGAGGCUUUGUUUAGUGGGAUGACGGCUCCCGUUUGUCACCGAUCUAAGGUGCAAGGCUGCCGCCUAUUGUUAGAUUUAGAGAUCAAGUCUUGGCGGCUCUCGCCAACCAUCCCAUGGCUUUCCACUUUACGGAAGGCCACUUUGCCCCUGAAGAUUAAAAUUUUUGUGUGGCAACUACUAAGAGAUCGCAUCUCUUCAGGGACUAAGGUACUUAAGCGGCAUGGCCCGUGUGAUGGCUUGUGCCCCUUAUGUUAG
rnacentral:rRNA from 1 species